UUUUCCUGGGCCAUUAGCUCAGGUGGUUAGAGCGCACCCCUGAUAAGGGUGAGGUCCCUGGUUCAAGUCCAGGAUGGCCCAUUCGGUGUUGGGGGUUUAGCUCAGUUGGUAGAGCGCCUGCUUUGCAAGCAGGAUGUCAGGAGUUCGAGUCUCCUAACCUCCACUGAUCGAACUCAAUCUCCGGUUUUGCAUUGAAAAAUGGAGAACGACUCGAUUGUGAUGUGUGAUUUAGGCAGUGUCCGCUAGAGGAACUCAGCUUCCUGUCAUUCCAAAUUUUAAGGUUGAAUCUUUGAAUUUGGUUGAUACGAUGCUGGGCUCAGCUCAGGUUGUUAUGCAGCUUUAUUGUUGUGUGAUGGUCUGAUGUGAUGUCUAGCAGAACCUUGACAACUGCAUAGGUGAAGUCUGGAAAAACAAAGCAUCUCAUGGAUGCAUUGUUUUGUGUCUGAUCUUUCGAAAGAAAGAUUGGAACCAGAGCAAUGAAAAUUCUUUUGAGCAAGAGCCGAGACUC
rnacentral:tRNA from 1 species